AUCUGAAGUCUGGUGAGUGGCAAGAAGAGAAUAAGCCAGUGGAUUUAGCUCUCAGCUCAGUGGCCAAUCACUGCAGCGAUAUGAGUGAGGUGAGUGAGCUGUGACUUAGAUCAGCCCUCUCCUCCUGUAUCAAUACACAGAAGUUAUGCAUGUUGCACCUCCUUCCCUGACUGCCUUGCAGUUUUGUAAAGCUUUGGUUUUGUGGAGAACCCAAAGGCAGGCAUCAAUACUUGGUAGGCAUAAAGCUAUGGGAGUUGCUGUAGUCAUGGAGAGAAAUGGGAGAUGGCAGGAGAGACACUUUAACAGACCAGAGGAUUCAAGACCUAAUUGAUUAACUCGCUCCAAGGAAGCAUCAGUGGCUGAUGUGUGGAGGGGAAGACUGUGGGGGCAUACAGAAGAGGCCAAAGCUGCUUGGAUGGAAUUAUGUGAAAAGAUUGCAGUCCUCUGGCUGUUCCUUGAGCAACAGGAUCGAAUACCUUCUCUUGCAGGGCUGCAUGCAACAGGAAAUAAAGUCAGACACGAUAUAUUUUAUACCAGCUGUGAAAGAAUGAAGAUCUUCUGCCUUCAGCCUUGGGAAGAAUUUUAGCAACUGCAUAUUAAUGAAGCCGUAGAACAUAAUCACGGGCUUAGUCUUCUGCCAAACGUGGUGAAUUGGUGAAUUGAGGCCUUAGUGGCCUCUCUGACCUUCAGAUGGAAUAAUCUGGUCAGCCAUAAUCAAAUCACAAACUCUUGAUAAUUUCAACCCCCUUUUAGACACUUCUCUUGUUUCAAUUAACAAUCCAUUACAACUGAAAGGCAAGGCAGAGGAAAUCACGUGUCUAGCUUCUUCCUGGGUCUGGGAAACUAGUUGCUGAAUGUGUCACUUUAAUAAAACCCAUGGGAAACUUGGAAGGCUUGGAUUU
rnacentral:lncRNA from 1 species